rnacentral:rRNA from 1 species
GCCCAGAUGGGAUUAGCUUGUUGGUGAGGUAACGGCUCACCAAGGCGACGAUCCCUAGCUGGUCUGAGAGGAUGACCAGCCACACUGGAACUGAGACACGGUCCAGACUCCUACGGGAGGCAGCAGUGGGGAAUAUUGCACAAUGGGCGCAAGCCUGAUGCAGCCAUGCCGCGUGUAUGAAGAAGGCCUUCGGGUUGUAAAGUACUUUCAGCGGGGAGGAAGGUGUUGUGGUUAAUAACCGCAGCAAUUGACGUUACCCGCAGAAGAAGCACCGGCUAACUCCGUGCCAGC